rnacentral:lncRNA from 1 species
CGUGGCACUAGAGUGUACUAUGGUAUUUAUACGCACACAGAUAAUCCGCAAGCGCACGGAUAACGUUGAAGCUUUUACCCGGUUAAAGGUUUUAUCGUAUCCACAGGGAAACGGGAGAACUGAUCUACGCUCUAACUUAACCAAGAUAAGUAAAUAGGUGUGAAUAGGAAAGAUGGUAGAAUCGAAUAAGAACAAUAUUAAAGGUAAGAUAACAGUGAGUGAUAAUAUGGGAAUAGAGAAUAGAGCAAUUCUAGUAUAUGGGCGAUGGUAGCAGAAUAGAGAGGAUAACUAUGGUUUCUCUACUUCAAAGGGGUAUGUCUAUGUCUGGAACGAACCACGUGAUAAGAGUACACCACAAAGGAUGCUUAUCCUUAGGCCGAUAAACCCUACCCGUCCUGCCAACGAGAGGUGGACUACAAGGGACCAACGUAACUGUCACCUACGCGGCCUACCACACGAUCCAGCUAGUCAGGGGAUAUCCACAAGUAAUCUAGAUCUAAGCACCACGAUUACACCUAUACUACAACUCUAACCUAUAGGGUCCUAUAGAUUAGAAGUACUCAAAAGAGUUGUGAACCAGAACAUACAUGAUUAGUAAUUGCAUAAUGAAUUAGAAGUAGAUUACCAGAGUCAUCCCAUGAGCAAGCUUGAUUAGAGCUUGAUCAUGGCGAAGUACAACCGGAGGAAGAACCGACAGGCCGGCCUCUCCUCUAAUCCUCCUUCGCUCUCCAUCUCGCUACUAUCUAGAUCUACUCUAGUUUAGAGAAGAGAGGAGAGCUCUCAUCUCUAAACCCUAGCUUUUGCUCUGUCUAUGAAUAAUGAUCAAGGGGUGUCUCCUCCAGGGGCCAGGGGGUCUGGUUUUAUAGUCCCCUCAAGUGAACCUGGGCCGUCGGAUCAAACCGACAUUGGUUGAACGGUUAUUCUUGAUCCUUUAGGUCGGUGGAGCAUAAUCCGCGAGAUUGAGCGUGAUUGGCUAUAGGAGGUGGGCGGGCGCCUAGUAGGACAGGGCGGGCGCCCUGUCUCUAGCCCCGUUUCGCCUCCGCUUCGGUCUCGUGGCUUCUGGAGUCUUCUAGAUGUAAGAUAAUUGCGCAGCACGUUAAUAUCUUUACGUAAUCCCGACAUGUGGGCCUUUCUUCCAUAUUUCCUGAUAACCCCCUGCAGAAAUAGACAAACACCAAAACUCGUGGAAUUCUGUCAGAUAAAACCCUAAGUCUAGAUCUUGAUUUCAUUUGGAUCCUUUUCUUUAUUUAUUUGAUAAUUAAAUUUGAUACUUAAGGACCGUCAACAAACUCCCCCAAGCUUACCUCUUGCUCGUCCCUGAGUAAGGAUAGACUCAGCUAUGGAUCAUAAGUUGUUGCAAUAUCUUUAAAAAUUGACGGUACACAUGCUUUUAAAUGAGGUCUCAUCUCUGAGUUAGAGUAAACUGUCAAGACUUUAAAACUUACUUACUUUACCUUUCACCAUGGGACUUGUAACCGUCACUUCUGUCUUGAGUGGUUAAAAGAUAGAACAGUCCCGUCAAGUGCCAUGUCUCUUAUUCUUGAUCAGCUAUAGCUCUGGAGUUUUUUGCAGAUUUUUAAAUAAAACUCAGAGAUUCCUUUGUAUGACUCUCUCAUAUCUCUCUUUUGUGGUAUUUCUGGAUCCUUACCAAGGCAGUGAUGGUAUAUGCCUUCUCUCAAAAUAUGUGGUAUUUGUGGUAUAAGGCAUAGUGACAUUGCCUUCUCUCUCAUCCUACUCUAAUAAGGCUUUAAUAUCUGGAGCUUAUAGGUGGGAGAUAAAGUAUACAUACUUACAAGACAUUUAUUGUAUAGUCAAACCAUGGAUCCAAAGAAACAAAUCAAUAAGCCAAAUCAAGAUGUGCAUGUGUGGCGAAUGAAUGGUGUAUAGUGAUGAUAGUGAUAACAAUGGUGAAAGUCUAAUUCUACUUUUGCUCUUUUGAGGGGAUACAUACCUUCCUUGCUUUUUGAAACUUUAUGAGGAGAAUGAGAUGCUCUUCUUUUUUCUUUCCUCUCAGGUGGGUAUCUUGUACCCCUAAUUCUACUGUCGGACACUAGUCCAUUUUUACCUCUCGUCUCACUUUUUCUUUCUUUCGAGGUUCCGGGCACUUGCCCCUUUUUAUUUCCUCGUUUAUUAUUUUUUUUUUCUUUUCUUCUCUUUUCUCUUUUUUUUUCUUUUUUUUCAGAGCACUCAUCUCCUGAAAUAAUGUAGCAAGUGGUAGUAACCAAAAUAACUGGAGCAUUUAUUUUACAGGGAAUAACAGGGAUAAGAAAAUGUUUUUGGCUAUUCUCUCCCGGAUUAGGAGUAGAAUGAUUUUGGGUGAAACUGGAGAUGGAAAUGGAUGGAUAUAUGUGGAUGGUACUUCCGGAGUAGAAGUAGCAUAUAUGAGUGAACGUGCAAGUGAAUCUUGAUUUAACCACAGGACAAGCUCCUAAGGGUCUACACAGCUUGACCACACUCAAUGCUCAUAAGCAGUAAAUAAUAAAUGUGUGGCUCAAAGUCUAGCAAGCAUGAAUAUAUGGCUGUGGUAGGAAUUUAAACUCUCAUCAUACAGGAACUCAUCAUGCAACAUUUUAAAGAUUUUCAAAGAUAAAAUUCUCCAGAAUUCUAGCAUCUCUAGGAACAGAUAAACAACAGCUCAACCUUCCCAUAUCUUAUCCGUUAACAACUUAGAUUUCAGAUCAAGUUUUCAUCCCACAAGUUUAGAUCUAGAGUAAGCUUUAAAUUAUAACAGUUAUGUCUAAACUUGAGAGAGAACUUUAAAUUUGCAAAUUAGGCAGAGCAACUCUUCAUCAUAUCCAUGCUAGAGUUUUAUUAUUAAGAUUCAUAGCAAACUUUAUUUAUUUAUUUAGCAAACUAAGAAAAGUAUAUAUAUAUAAGCAUAAAAUCUUUAUUUGGUUUUUCAUAGUUUAUGUAUUUUAAUAUUCUAAUAUAAUAUAAGUAUAAAGAUAGGUAGAAAUACUUAGCGAGAUAAAUAGGGGUGCUCUCCCCCAAGCUGAAUUUUGACGUAAUUUCUCUUGAUGUAGCUAGCAGGUGGCAGAGGUGUAUUUGAAAGUCAGCAGCAUUCUGACAGCGAUUAGAAUGUCCUCCGUCUGCUAGUCUUCUUGAUUCUUAAAUUCUGUGGAGCUCAAAUAGACAACAAAGCUUGUGGAACUAAUUAAGUGUUAGCAUAAAUAUCUAGCCUUCAUCACGUUGAGCUUCCUCAAUAAAUAUUACUCCCUGUUUUUAUAUUUUUAUUUUAUAAAGUAGAAAAGAAAUAUUUAUUUUAUUUUUAUGCCACCACGUACUUAUGGGUUUUAUGCCACUCGUAUACUCACAUGGGGCUUAGUAUUUUUUAAUAUUUUUAUUUUCUUUUCAAGAUAGUAUGAUUAACUAAUAAUCUAUUUAAGGAAAGUAAAUAAUUAAAUGAAAAAGGGAAUGCAGAAAGGAUAAAUAUGGAUAACUACAAUCUUACCUUUCGGCGAGGGUUCAAUGUUUUAAGUCUUCUUGUCAAGACUUCUCAUCGUGUUCAUUCUUCAGGUGCGUUAUUUGAUUCAGGUGCGGACCUUGACGUCUGCACCUUUUAAUACGGUGUCACCCAUGUUCUUCGUUUGCCCAGCAGUUCGAAGUGCGGUGUUAGCAGUAUCUUGCUCAGUGUGUUUGUGCUCGUAGUGUACCUACUCAUAGAGACAAGGCAGAGAUCAAGUGCAUGGGCCCUGUUGGUGGAAAACACCAACAGAACCAAAAGUGUAUUUGUUCUUCUCUAACCUUAAGCAUACUGAGCAAGACAAGUUGAUGGAUGAUAAGUUCAUGAGUGUAGCACUUAUAACAUUUGUCAGAUCAGAUCGCUCAACCUUAUGCAAAGAUAAUCUAUCUAUGUAUAUGUCUUUUUCUUUAUAUCUCUCAAUGAUUGAAUGUGUAACAUUUUAGCUCAUAUGAUUAGGAGUGUGGGAUCAUAGAGGUAGUACUAAGAACAAGGAUUAAAGGACUAAACAUGUUGAAUCAAUUGGGUUGGUUAAUCUAGAGUUGUAAAUCAUGCACGUUUGUCUCUUUUAUUUAUAUGAACGCCAGAACCAAGGAGAAGCUUAUAAAAGAGAUAGUCAAGUACCUUAAGAUGUUAUCUUGCUCGAAGAGUGAUGGUACAGUAUCAUCUUGUGGAAGCUUUCCUUUCUUAGCGGUUGUGCGUCGUUUUUGUGGCACCCUCCAUGGAUCAUCUCUCUAUGAUGAAUGAGCUAUGUCCUUCUUGUGCAAAUUGUUAAACUUCAUGUGUCACUCUCUUCGUCUCUGAUGUGAGUUUAUCUCGGGACUUCCCAAAUCGAUAUUGAAAGUUUUUCUGCAGGGGUUAGUCCGACAAAAUAUACCAAUAUCUACUCAAGCAGUUUUUUUUAGUUCAAUAACCAAACUAGACUCCAUGUCUAAUCAGAUUAAGGAAGGCUAUUUAAUCUAAGCACCAUGCUUAAUUUAAAUGCCAAUGGAAGUAUGGCGAGUACUUCCAAACCAACACUUGCUAGUAAAUAGACAAAGGUAGCAUGACAGCAUUUAUAGAGAUCUACUCAAGUGGAGAUGAAGUAGUGUGAUUAGUAUUUAACAAAUUGAGCAUGUCUCAAAGGUAGGGACAACCAGCAUAGCAACAUGGCAAAGGAUGUUUUUAUGUAAAGUACUCCCCCAAGCUUGAAUUUUGCAAAAUUCAAGUUUGGAUGAAUUUAAUUCAAUGUUGUAUGAUGAUUGGUUGGACAUACCUUGUGCUUGUCAUUCAUCCGAUCUUCUUGCUCCAAUCCUAGAAAGGUUAGUGACAAGAAUACCCGAAGGAAUUUUUUUUUUACAAUUAUCCUUAUAUGCUCAAUACACAAGGUAAUGUUGCAAAUAAUUAAAGGCUCAUGUUACGAUCUGAUCAAUGCUUAUUUUAAGACACUAAGCUUGUCCUUGGGAAACCAUCAGUUUAUGUUGGCGAAGUGGUUUCCCCUCCGACGCCAACCUAUAUCUAGAUCAACUCAAUGAGAUCUGCAAUAUUUAUUAUAGACAUAUGCAUCGACAACCGCCCUUUUAAAGUUUUUAUAAAUAGAAAGGAAGAGGGGGUUGGAGAUCUCAAGUGCGGUGAUGUCAGAGAGACCAAUAGAUUGGGAAGAUGUUGCAUAUGAGCAUGGAGUAAACGAAGUGGCUAUGAAAUAAAUUCCAUGCUCAUUAAUGUUAUCUUCGUCUCUAAUCUGAAUGUUUGGAGUUUCUCCUGGAUUGGUCUCACUUAUGUCCUCUUCUGUAGUUGGAUGAAUCUCAUCUUCAAAGGGAGUCAAGAACUCACCAUUUGAAAUUGAGCCAAAGUCAGAACCCAUUAAGGCUUCUUCCUUAUCCAUCCAUUCUACACAUUCUAGCCAUUUAGAACUUGUAAUCAGGAAAGGGGUGGUGUUAGAAUUUUCAAUAUGGCUUAGCUCUCCUUCACUUGAUAUGUCAUCCUCGACUUCUUCAAAACAGGAAUGAGGACAUUCUCUAAGAGAAACAUUAUUGCAAUGAUUUGAAUUAUCCCUGCUUGAAGGUCUCUUAUAGAACCAGAAGUCUAAACCAUCAGCAUCUAAAAGAUUUAAGGUCGGAAUUCCUUCCUCCCUUGGAGAAUUUUGGGGUAUUGAUGGUUUAGGAUCGAUAGCUAAAGUUUUGGAUUGAAGUGGUUGUAAUCUGGCUAUCGAAACUUCUUCUUCUUGUCUAGGAACUAGUUCUUUCUCUUUCUCAGGGAUAUAAAAGCUAGGAGACUUUCCGCUCAUUAAAUCAAUCAAAUUCCAAGCUUCACUAGCGGAUAGGUGGUGGAAAGAUCCUCCAGAGGCCGCAUGAAGGGUUUGCUUAUCUUCCUUACUAAGGCCCUCAAAAAAUUGAAUUAGAAGAACUUCUUCUGGAAUAGAAAGUUUUGGGCCAGUGAGAGUAAGGUUAAUAAAGCGGUCCCAUGAUUUGCCAAGAGAUUCUUCUUCUAGUUGUCUAAAAGAAAGAAUCUCACGCCGAAGUUCCACCACUUUGGAGAUUGGAAAAUAUUUAGAAAGAAAACUACUAUAUAACUCCUUCCAAUCUCCAUGAACACUCCCUACUUUGAGUUUGUACCAAUGUCUAGCUUUUCCCGUUAAAGAGAACGGAAAGAGCUUCCAUUUAAGGGUCUCAUCGGACAUGCCUUCUAUGCGAAGGAGGUCACAGACUCGAUAAAACUCUCUUAGGUGUGUGUAUGGGUUUUCCUCACCUUCUCCUGAGAAAGGUUGUUUUUGAAUAAAUUCUAUGUAUUCGGGGUCUAUCUCAAAACUAGAUGCUAUGAUAGGCUUUGAAGAUUUUGGUGGUUCGAGAUGUGUGCCCAUAGGUCUAUGAAAUUCAUAGAUAGACAUGUUUGAAUUCAUAAUAGACCAGAGAUCAAGGAUUAGAUAAGAAGAAAGAAUAGCAGAGAUGAGGCAAAGGAUAAAAGGAAAAUAUAUUUUUUUAUUUAUUUUUUUAUAAAAUGAUUAAACUAGUUCGUAGUCAACUCAGCAACCGUUUCCCCGGCAACGGCGCCAAAAAUGCUUGUUGACACUUGCUAACACCACUUGAAUACUAGGUUGUCAUCCCCAGCGUGGCACUAGAGUGUACUAUGGUAUUUAUACGCACACAGAUAAUCCGCAAGCGCACGGAUACCGUUGAAGCUUUUACCCGGUUAAAGGUUUUAUCGUAUCCACAGGGAAACGGGAGAACUGAUCUAUGCUCUAACUUAACCAAGAUAAGUAAAUAGGUGUGAAUAGGAAAGAUGGUAGAAUCGAAUAAGAACAAUAUUAAAGGUAAGAUAACAGUGAGUGAUAAUAUGGGAAUAGAGAAUAGAGCAAUUCUAGUAUAUGGGCGAUGGUAGCAGAAUAGAGAGGAUAACUAUGUUUUCUCUACUUCAAAGGGGUAUGUCUAUGUCUGGGACGAACCACGUGAUAAGAGUACACCACAAAGGAUGCUUAUCCUUAGGCCAAUAAACCCUACCCGUCCUGCCAACGAGAGGUGGACUACAGGGGACCAACGUAACUGUCACCUACGCGGCCUACCACACGAUCCAGCUAGUCAGGGGAUAUCCACAAGUAAUCUAGAUCUAAGCACCACGCUUACACCUAUACUACAACUCUAACCUAUAGGGUCCUAUAGAUUAGAAGUACUCAAAAGAGUUGUGAACCAGAACAUACAUGAUUAGUAAUUGCAUAAUGAAUUAGAAGU